rnacentral:piRNA from 1 species
UAUUUGUGCUUGUGGCUAUGUUCUAA